rnacentral:lncRNA from 1 species
AAUAAUUGAAACAUCAUUACAAAAUGAUGUGUGUGUUUUUUUUUAAAAAAAUUAAGGCUGGAGGGGGAGAGAUGGGCGGCACCGGUAUAAAUUUUUUUUUUUAAGGGUGGAGGGAAAGACAUGGGGGCGCUAGUAUUUUCUGGUGCAAAAAUACAGUCUAAAUGGUGGAGGGUGAAUUUUGUACCGUUUUGUUAUUUUUUGAAGAAUUACUAAUAUUUUUACACAUAUAAAUAAACCAAUAACAACGUAAUUUAAAGAAUUACUAAUAUUUUUUUGAAGAAUUGCUAAAUUUUUACUCAAGC